rnacentral:rRNA from 1 species
CGAAUGCUGACAUAAGUAACGAUAAAGCGGGUGAAAAGCCCGCUCGCCGGAAGACCAAGGGUUCCUGUCCAACGUUAAUCGGGGCAGGGUGAGUCGACCCCUAAGGCGAGGCCGAAAGGCGUAGUCGAUGGGAAACAGGUUAAUAUUCCUGUACUUGGUGUUACUGCGAAGGGGGGACGGAGAAGGCUAUGUUGGCCGGGCGACGGUUGUCCCGGUUUAAGCGUGUAGGCUGGUUUUCCAGGCAAAUCCGGAAAAUCAAGGCUGAGGCGUGAUGACGAGGCACUACGGUGCUGAAGCAACAAAUGCCCUGCUUCCAGGAAAAGCCUCUAAGCAUCAGGUAACAUCAAAUCGUACCCCAAACCGACACAGGUGGUCAGGUAGAGAAUACCAAGGCGCUUGAGAGAACUCGGGUGAAGGAACUAGGCAAAAUGGUGCCGUAACUUCGGGAGAAGGCACGCUGAUAUGUAGGUGAAGUCCCUCGCGGAUGGAGCUGAAAUCAGUCGAAGAUACCAGCUGGCUGCAACUGUUUAUUAAAAACACAGCACUGUGCAAACACGAAAGUGGACGUAUACGGUGUGACGCCUGCCCGGUGCCGGAAGGUUAA